ACUCAAAUGAAUUGACGGGGGCCCGCACAAGCGGAGGAACAUGUGGUUUAAUUCGAUGAUACGCGAGGAACCUUACCCGGGCUCGAACGGCUAGUGAGUAUAGUGGAAACAUUAUAGUCAGCAAUGACACUAGUCGAGGUGCUGCAUGGUUGUCGUCAGCUCGUGCCGUGAGGUGUCGGCUUAAGUGCCAUAACGAGCGCAACCCUUACUGUUAGUUACCAUCAGGUUAUGCUGGGGACUCUAGCGGGACUGCCACCGUAAGGUGUGAGGAAGGUGGGGAUGACGUCAAAUCAGCACGGCCCUUACGUCCGGGGCUACACACGUGUUACAAUGGGAGGGACAAAGGGCAGCUACCAGGCGACUGGAUGCUAAUCUCCAAACCCUCUCCCAGUUCGGAUCGAAGUCUGCAACCCGACUUCGUGAAGCUGGAUUCGCUAGUAAUCGCGCAUCAGCCAUGGCGCGGUGAAUACGUUCCCGGGCCUUGCACACACCGCCCGU
rnacentral:rRNA from 1 species